rnacentral:rRNA from 1 species
ACUCCUACGGGAGGCAGCAGUGGGGAAUAUUGCACAAUGGGCGCAAGCCUGAUGCAGCCAUGCCGCGUGUGUGAAGAAGGCCUUCGGGUUGUAAAGCACUUUCAGUCGUGAGGAAGGUAGUGUAGUUAAUAGCUGCAUUAUUUGACGUUAGCGACAGAAGAAGCACCGGCUAACUCCGUGCCAGCAGCCGCGGUAAUACGGAGGGUGCGAGCGUUAAUCGGAAUUACUGGGCGUAAAGCGCAUGCAGGUGGUUGUUAAGUCAGAUGUGAAAGCCCGGGGCUCAACCUCGGAAUAGCAUUUGAAACUGGCAGACUAGAGUACUGGUAGAGGGGGUAGAAUUUCAGGUGUAGCGGUGAAAUGCGUAGAGAUCUGAAGGAAUACCGGUGGCGAAGGCGGCCCCUGGACAGAUACUGACACUCAGAUGCGAAAGCGUGGG